rnacentral:lncRNA from 1 species
UGAAAACUAAAUGUUUAUUGAGCAGAAACAGUACUCAGAACAGCGUUAUCCUUUAAUCAAAAAAUAUCUCUGGAACAGUAGCAAGGUCAAUGGUCAGAGGUCAGCACCAACCCUUCAAAAAACAGAACAAAACAAACGUAAAGAGUAGAAAGCAACAGCCAGCAGGGUUCGCUCUGCUCUGAUCACAUCUCAGUCUAUUCACUGAUGUCUGGAGUCACCUGGUCCUCACCUAGAAAUCAGUCUGUUAACUGGUACCAGUCUGGAAGAGGAGGGGGGCUAUAGGGGUCUGUAGUAGAGGAGGGGGGUUAUAGGGGUCUGUAGUAGAGGGGGGGGGUUAUAGGGGUCUGUAGUAGAGGUGGGGGGUUAUAGGGGUCUGUAGUAGAGGUGGGGGGUUAUAGGGGUCUGUAGUAGAGGAGGGGGGUUAUAGGGGUCUGUAGUAGAGGAGGGGGGUUAUAGGGGUCUGUAGUAGAGGAGGGGGGUUAUAGGGGUCUGUAGUAGAGGAGGGGGGGUUAUAGGGGUCUGUAGUAGAGGGGGGGUCUGUAGUAGAGGAGGGGGGGUUAUAGGGGUCUGUAGUAGAGGAGGGGGUUAUAGGGGUCUGUAGUAGAGGAGGGGGGUUAUAGGGGUCUGUAGUAGAGGAGGGGGGUUAUAGGGGUCUGUAGUAGAGGAGGGGGGGUUAUAGGGUCUGUAGUAGAGGAGGGGGGUUAUAGGGGUCUGUAGUAGAGGAGGGGGGUUAUAGGGGUCUGUAGUAGAGGAGGGGGGGUUAUAGGGGUCUGUAGUAGAGGAGGGGGGUUAUAGGGGUCUGUAGUAGAGGAGGGGGUCUGUAGUAGAGGAGGGGGGUUAUAGGGGUCUGUAGUAGAGGAGGGGGUUAUAGGGGUCUGUAGUAGAGGAGGGGGGGUUAUAGGGGUCUGUAGUAGAGGAGGGGGGGUUAUAGGGGUCUGUAGUAGAGGAGGGGGGGUCUGUAGUAGAGGAGGGGGGGUUAUAGGGGUCUGUAGUAGAGGAGGGGGUUAUAGGGGUCUGUAGUAGAGGAGGGGGGUUAUAGGGUCUGUAGUAGAGGAGGGGGGGUUAUAGGGGUCUGUAGUAGAGGAGGGGGGGGUUAUAGGGUCUGUAGUAGAGGAGGGGGGUUAUAGGGUCUGUAGUAGAGGAGGGGGGGUUAUAGGUGUCUGUAGUAACGAGGGGGGGUCCAUAGUGCAUGGGCAUGUUGAUGUCUAUAUUGUUUGGGUUGUUGUUGACCUGGUUGAGAGGGGGG